UUACAGAGAUGGAUAGAAAUCUCAACAAGGAAAAAAAAGAAGCAGCCAAGGUGUGAACUAUGUCAUUAUCAGUUCCACAGACAUAAAACAUUUAAGGUGAGUGUACAGUAGGAUUAUGUCAUUAUCAGUUCUAUAGGCAUAAAACAUUUAAGGUGAGUGUACAGUAGGAUUAUGUCAUUAUCAGUUCUAUAGACAUAAAACAUUUAAGGUGAGUGUACAGUAGGAUUAUGUCAUUAUCAGUUCCAUAGACAUAAAACAUUUAAGGUGAGUGUACAGUAGGAUUAUGUCAUUAUCAGUUCUAUAGAUAUAGAACAUUUAAGGUGAGUGUACAGUAGGAUUAUGUCAUUAUCAGUUCUAUAGACAUAAAACAUUUAAGGUGAGUGUACAGUAAGGAUUAUGUCAUUAUCAGUUUCCAUAGACAUAAAACAUUUUAAGUGAUUUAUGUGUCCAUACAGUAGGAUUAUGUCAUUAUCAGUUCCAUAGACAUAAAACAUUAAGUGAUUAUGUAGACAAGUAGGAUUAUGUCAUUAUCAGUUCUAUGACAAAACAUUUAGGUGAGUGUACAGUAGGAUUAUUCAUUAUCAGUUCCAUAGACAUAAAACAUUUAAGGUGAGUGUACAGUAGGAUUAUGUCAUUAUCAGUUCCAUAGACAUAAAACAUUUAAGGUGAGUGUACAGUAGGAUUAUGUCAUUAUCAGUUCCAAGACAUAAACAUUAAGGUGAGUGUACAAGUAGGAUUAUGUCAUUACAGUUAUAGACAUUUAGGUAAGUGUACAGUAGGUUAUGUUUAAGUCAAGUUACAGUAGAUUAAGUAUUAUCAUAGACAUAAAAUAUUUAAGGUGAGUGUAGUGGAUUAUGUUCAGUUCCAUAGACAUAAAACAUUUAUUUUAGAUAAGUUCUAUAGAUAAGUGUACAGUAGGAUUAUGUCAUUAUCAGUUCCAUAGACAUAAAACAUUUAAGGUAGUACAGAGGAUUAUUCAUUAUCAGUUCUUAGACAUAAAACUUAAGGUAUGUGUACAGUAGGAAUUAUUCAUUAAUUCCAUAACAUAAAAUUUAAGGUGAGUGUACAGUGAGGAUUAUGUCAUAUCAGUUCAUAGACAUAAAACAUUUAUGUGAGACUAGGAUUAUGUCAUUAUCAUUCCACUACAUAAAACAUUUAAGGUGAGUGUACAGUAGAUUAUGUCAUAUCAUUCACAGACAUAAAACAUUUAAGGUGAGUGUACAGUAGGAUUAUGUCAUUAUCAGUUCCAUAGACAUAAAACAUUUAAUGAGUGACAGUAGACUAUGUCAUUAUAUUAGACAUAAAAACAUUUAAGGUAGGUCAGUAGGAUUUAUGUCAUUAUCAGUUCUAUAGACAUAAAACAUUUAAGUGAGUGUACAGUCAGGAUUAUGUCAUUAUCAUUCCAUAACAUAAAACAUUUAAGGUGAGUGUACAGUAGGAUUACAUAUAGGUCAUAUCAGUAAGAUUAUGUCAUUAUCAUUCUAUACAUAAAACAUUUUAGGUGAGUACAGUAGGAUUAUGUUCAUUUCAUUCAUUUAGGUGACCUAUGUUCACAUUUAUAAGGGAGUGUACAGUAGGAUUAUGUCAUUAUCAGUUCCAUAGACAUAAUUUUAAGGUGAGUGUACAGUAGGAUUAUGUCAUUAUCAGUUCCAUAGACAUAAAACAUUAAGGUGAGUUACAGUAGGAUUAUGUCAUUAUCAGUUCCAUAGACAUAAAAUAUUAGGUGAGGUGAGUGUACAGUAGGAUUAUGUCAUUAUCAGUUCCAUAACAUUAAAACAUUUAAGGUGAGUUGUACAGUAGGAUUAUGUCAUUAUCAGUUCCAUAGACAAAAACAUUUAAGGUGAGUGUACAGUUAGGAUUAUGUCAUUAUCAGUUCCAUAGACAAAAACAUUUAAGGUGACUGUACAGUAGAUUCAUCAGUUCUUAUAGACAUCAUAAACAUUUAAGGUGAGUGUUUAGUACAGUAGGAUUAAUGAUUCAUUAUCAGUCCAUAGACAUAAAAUAUUUAAGGUAGUGUACAGUAGGAUUAUGUCAUUAUCAGUUCCAUAGACAUAAAACAUUUAAGGUGUGUACAGUAGGAUUAUGUCAUUAUCAAGUCCAUAGACAUAAAACAUAGUUAAGGAGUUGUACAGUAGGAUUAUGUCAUUAUCAUGUCCAUAGACAUAAAACAUUUAAGGUGAGUGUACAGUAGGAUAUGUCAUUAUCAUCAGUUCAUAGACAAUAAAACAUUUAAGGUGAGUGUACAGUAGGAUUAUGUCAUUAUCAGUUCCAUAGACAUAAAACAUUUUAAGGUGAGUGUACAGUUAGGAUUAUGUAUCAGUUAUCAGUUCUAUAUUUACAGUAAUUAUGUCAUUUCAAGUUAGGUGAGUGUACAGUAGGAUGUCAUUAUGUUCCAUAGACAUAAACAUUUAAGGUGAGUGUACAGUAGAUGUCUAUAGACAUAAAACUUUAAAGGUAGUGUACAGUAGGAUUAUGUCAUUAUCGUCAUAACAUAUAAACAUUUAAGUAAGUGUAUUAUGUCAUUCCAUAGAAUAAAACAUUAACAGUAGUUCUAUAGACAUAAAACAUUUAAGGUGAUGUUACAGUAGAUUAUGUCAUACAUUAUCAAGUUCUAUAGACAUAAAAAUCCUUAAGGUGAGUGUACAGUAGGAUUAUGUCAUUAUCAGUUCUAAGACAUAAACAUUUAAGGUGAGUGUACAGAUUAUGAUUUAUGUCAUUAUCAGUUCCAUAGACAUAAAACAUUUAAGGUGAGUGUACAGUAGGAAUAUUCAAUUAUCAUUCUAUAGACAUAUAAACAUUUAAGGUGAGUGUACAGUAGGAUUAUGUCAUUAUCAGUUACUUCUAUAGACAUAAACAUUUAAGGUGAGUGUACAGUAGGAUUAUGUCAUUAUCAGUUAUCAGUUCCAUAGACAUAAAACAUUUAAGGUGAGUGUACAGUAGGAUUAUGUCAUUAUCAGUUCUAUAAGACAUAAAACAUUUAAGGUGAGUGUACAGUAGGUCAUUAUCAUUAGUAUCAUUAUCAGUCCAUAGACAUAAAACAUUUAAGGUGAGUGUACAGUAGGAUUAUGUCAUUAUCAGUUCCAUAGACAUAAAACAUUUAAGGUGAGUGUACAGUAGGAUUAUGUCAUUAUCAGUUCCAUAGACAUAAAACAUUUAAGGUGAGUGUACAGUAGGAUUAUGUCAUUAUCAGUUCCAUAGACAUAAAACAUUAAGGUGAGUGUACAGUAGGAUUAUGUCAUUAUCAGUUCUAUAGACAUAAAACUGAGUACAGUAGGAUUAUGUCAUUAUCAGUUCUAGAUCAUAAAACAUUUAAAGGUGAGUGUACAGUAGAUUAUGUCAUAUCAGUUCUAUAGACAUAAAACAUUUAAUGAGUGUACAGUAGGAUUUGUCAUUAUCAGUUCUAUAGAAUAAAACAUUUAAGGUGAGUGUACAGUAAUUUAUGAUUAUCAUAGUCAUUUAGUGUACUAGCAUUUCCAUAGACAUAAAACAUUUAGGGAGUGUACAGUAGGAUUAGUCAUUAUCAGUUCCAUAGACAUAAACAUUUAAGGUGAGUGUACAGUAGGACUAUGUCAUUAUCAUCCAUAGACAUAAAAACAUAUAAGGUGAGGUACAGUAGGAUUAUGUCAUUUUUGUCGAGCCUGCAACUUUUGUUGCAGAAAGCUCGACAUAGGGAUAGUGAUCCGGCGGUGGCGGCUACGGCGGCGGCGUUAGCUCACUUCUUAAAAGCUUUAUAUUUUAGAAGGUGGAAGACCUGGAUGCUUCAUACUUUGUAUAUAGAUGCUUCAUGUUAUGAAGUUUCUGUCAGUCACAUGUCCAAUGUCCUUGACCUCAUUUUCAUGGUUCAGUGACCACUUGAAAAAAAAAGUUUAAAUUUUUUGUAAUGUUGAUUUCUCUCUUAUUAUAAGUAAUAGGAUAACUAUAUUUGAUAUGUGCCUACCUUGCAAGGUCCUCAUGUCUGUCAGACAGUUUUCACUUGACCUUGACCUCAUUUCAUGGAUCAGUGAACAAGGUUAAGUUUUGGUGGUCAAGUCCAUAUCUCAGAUACUAUAAGCAAUAGGGCUAGUAUAUUCAGUGUAUGGAAGGACUGUAAGGUGUACAUGUCCAACUGGCAGGUGUCAUCUGACCUUGACCUCAUUUUCAUGGUUCAGUGGUUUAUAUUAAAUUUUUGUGUUUUGGUCUGUUUUUCUCAUACUAUAUGUAAUAGGUCUACUAUAAAAUUUGUUGUAUGGAAUGAAUUGUAAGGUGUACAUGUCUAGCGGGCAGAUGUCAUGAGACCCUGACCUCAUUUUCAUGGUUCAGUGGUCAAAGUUAAGUUUUUGAGUUUUGGUCUUUUUAUCUAGUACUAUAUGCCAUAGGUCAACUAUAAUUGGUGUAUGAAUGGAAAUAUUUUAUGAUCUUUAUGUCAGUCGCACAGGUUUUAUUUGACCUUGACCUCAUUUUCACGGUUCAUUGCACAGUGUUAAGUUUUUGUGUUUUUGUCUAUUUUUCUUAAACUAUAAGUAAUGGGUCAACUAUAUAUGUUGUAUAGAAGCAUUGUUAGCUGUACAUGUCUGCUUGGCAUCUUUCAUCUGACAUUGACCUCAUUUUCAAGGUUCAUUGGUCUUUGUUUAGUUUUCUUAGUUAAUGUUAAGUUUAUGUGACAGUUGUAAUAAAGCUUAGCUUUAUACAGGACUAUCAACAUAAUAUCAAUGAUUAGUAUAGAAGGCGAGACAUUUCAGUGUGUGCACUCUUGUCAGUUCUAUAGACAUAAAACAUUUAAGGUGAGUGUACAGUAGGAUUAUGUCAUUAUCAGUUCCAUAGACAUAAAAAACAUUUAAGGUGAGUGUACAGUAGGAUUAUGUCAUUAUCAGGUCCAUAGACAUAAAAAUUUAAGUGAGUGUACAGUAGGAUAUGUCAUUAUCAGUUCCAUAGACAUAAACAUUUAAGGUGAGUGUACAGUAGGAUUAUGUCAUUAUCAGUUCCAUAGACAUAAAACAUUUUAAGGUGAGUGUACAGUAGGAUUAUGUCAUUAUCAGGUCCAUAGACAUAAAAAUAUUUAAGGUGAGUGUACAGUAGGAUUAUGUCAUUAUCAGUUCCAUAGACAUAAAACAUUUAAGGUGAGUGUACAGUAGGAUUAUGUCAUUAUCAGGUCCAUAGACAUAAAAUAUUUAAGGUGAGUGUACAGUAGGAUUAUGUCAUUAUCAGUUCCAUAGACAUAAAACAUUUAAGGUGAGUGUACAGUAGGAUUAUGUCAUUAUCAGUUCCAUAGACAUAGAACAUUUAAGGUGAGUGUACAGUAGGAUUAUGUCAUUAUCAGUUCCAUAGACAUAAAACAUUUAAGGUGAGUGUACAGUAGGAUUAUAUCAUUAUCAGUUCUAUAGACAUAAAACAUUUAAGGUGAGUGUACAGUAGGAUUAUGUCAUUAUCAGUUCUAUAGACAUAAAACAUUUAAGGUGAGUGUACAGUAGGAUUAUGUCAUUAUCAGGUCCAUAGACAUAAAACAUUUAAGGUGAGUGUACAGUAGGAUUAUGUCAUUAUCAGUUAUCAGUUCUAUAGACAUAAAACAUUUAAGGUGAGUGUACAGUAGGAUUAUGUCAUUAUUCAGUGCUCUAGACAUAAAACAUUUAAGGUGAGUGUACAGUAGGAUUAUGUCAUUAUCAGUUAUCAGUUCUAUAGACAUAGAAACUUUAAGGUGAGUGUACAGUAGGAUUAUGUCAUUAUCAGGUCCAUAGACAUAAAAAACAUUUAAGGUGAGUGUACAGUAGGAUUAUGUCAUUAUCAGUUCCAUAGACAUAAAACAUUUAAGGUGAGUGUACAGUAGGAUUAUGUCAUUAUCAGUUCUAUAGACAUAGAACAUUUAAGUUGAGUGUACAGUAGGAUUAUGUCAUUAUCAGUUCCACAGACAUAAAACAUUUAAGGUGAGUAAAAUGUGCAGUAUGAUUAUGUCAUUAUUAAGGUGAGCUUGGAAGCAGAGUGUAAACUAUGUCAUGUCUACCUCAGUUAUCUGACCCUUGACCUAAUAUUUGUUUUGCCUUGGCAGAGUCGAGAAGACGAAAUUAGGUAAAUGUAUGCUGUUUAUGGUGGCUCCAGUGGUGUCAACAAUAUAUUAGUUUGUGAUACGGUCUCUAUAUGUGGACCCAUUUGUCGAGGAUUGCGGGAACGUAAAACAAUACUAUUUGUUCUGUCGCCACUAACUACAUGUAUAUGACAUCACAUAUUUGUAAAAUAUUGUAACAAGGUUUAUGCUUAUACUUAAAUAGAAUAUUGAACUGUACAGUAGUAUUUUCUAGAGAUCAACCUAGUCUUAUCACAAUGCCAAGUAUACAUCUCAAAACGUUACAUUGGUGCCGUGACCAGGAUGUCGAGGAUUGUGGGAAAGUCUCAUUUUGAUCAGGAUUGUUUGGCCUUGUAACUGUAGUUAUUAAUUACUGACUGAAUAUUUUGCAUAACUGGCAUUAUGUACAUAUUAAAGUGUUCGCUAUUUUCAUUAGAAAAUUUGCAUUUUACUAUCUAAAUAACAAAUAGGCGAGACAUAUCUCUCUGUUUCAAAGGUUUAACCCUUUCAACACUACACAGAAAAAAUAGAAAAAUGGCUGCUGCUACUGAAUUUUUUGUGUUCAUUCAUUAGAACAGUAUAUUCCUUUUCCGUCUUCAUUUAUUUUUCUGUUUUAUCUGCAAUAUAAUAAAGAAGACACCAGUUGCGUAUUGCACCGUACACAACGUAUUAUGUAUUUGUCGCACUAAUAAGUGGCUCCGUUCUCAAAAUUUUCAGUCAGCCUCCGUUUUCCCCCUUUUUUCUACGUCUCAUAAUGAUCAAUCAAAUCAUAUUUCCCACCUGAAUUAAAUGUAAUAAACACAUUGAGAUAACAAGAAACCUUUUAACUAAUCGACAUUGUCAGUUUCUCCAUAGAAAUGCUGAAAUAUUUACAUAUUUACAGCUUCGUUUCUGAUUUGCGGCAUUUGCAUUUGCUUAAGAGUCCUGAUGAAAAUUCCAUUGUCAUCGAAAAGCAGAGGUUGUCGGCGGCUUUCAUCUUGGCGUUGAAAGGGUUAAAACCAGAAAUAAAUGUCUACACAUCAUAUUUCUAUAUAUAGAAGUUAAUUUUCCAUUGCAGUUUAAGAACUGGAGGUUCCCAAGGGUGAACAAUAGGAUUUAAAUGUCUACACAUCAUAUUUCUAUUUAUAGAAGUUUAUUUUCUAUUUGCAGUUUAAGAACUGGAGGUUCCCAAGGGUGAACAAUAGAGAUAAAUGUCUACACAUCAUAUUUCUAUUCAAUCUGGUUGUUAUGAUUGGAUGUGCUGUGGCUACAAUUAUGUGCUUUCUAUCUGAUAAAGGACAGAUAACAAAGUUCCCUAAAAACAAGGUAGAGUUAACGACAGAAGAGAUCAUCACAUUAGGGUGUGGAGUGGCAUUCUUUGUGGCCUUUUUCAUUGCAAUGACAGUGGAGAUAAAAGCUAAACACACUGUGUAUAAAUUGUGUAUGAGAUUUAUUAUGCAUAACACAGAAUGGGCUGUGGACUCUUAUGAUCGCAACAAAGACCUUGAUAUCAAUAAACCUCCCAAAGCACAGUAUGUUUAAUGUACCUCAUCUCUACAGAUCAUUAUAUAUAUUUUGUCAGAGUUAUGUCCCCUGACUAGUGUAUCCUUGAUAUUAUCAAUUUUGUACAAAGCAAUCAUCAAAAUUAUUUAGCUAGGUGUGUGAACCUAUAAGAUAUGCAUAGCUUACAAAUGAGUAAUUAUGUUUUGUGCAAUAGGAAGCUUCUAUAAGUUUUGUAUUUCUGAUUGUGGUAAAAGAAAUGUAUAAACUCAACUAUGUAUUCAUAACUUUUACUCCAACUUCCCUAUCUUCAGAUAAAAAAAAUGAAGACCUAUAUUAAAGUAGAAUUUGAACUUGAAAUAUGAUGUGCAUGUGUUUCAAAAGUCCAUAAUAUAUUUCACUCAGAUAGAUAAUUAUCAAAUGUGAUUGAUUUUUCAAUUCUCUGUAGGCCUGUUCAUUUCUAAUGUUGAUCGUUGAUACACAACAACAUGAGUUAGGUCAUUAAUUUAAUUAUACAUCCAAAAGUGACCCACAUUUACUUUGUCUGUGUGUCCUAAUCUGACUUCAUAAGUUUCUAUGCUUCACAAAAAGUGAUUCAGGAUAUAUCUACUUCAUCUUUAAAUUACAACAAGUUUAAUUAUCAGGAUUAUAAGAAAUAAUCUUUUGAUCUUGUAAUGAAUACAGAAAUGUUAAUAGACUAAAUAUAGUAUGUAACUUAUCAUUCAUUAAUUGACAACCCCAAAAAGUUUUUAUUUUAAAAGUAUUAAUUUCUAUGUUAACCAUGAUUCAGGAGUAUAAAUGUAUAACUAGUUUUUUGCUCCUAAGAAGAACAUUGACAUUUUGUCCUGUGACUGGGUGUAUGUUAAUUUUGUCUGACUUUUUGUCUUGUGAUUUUCUGUCCUCCAGUCAUGCUAAACAUGUUAAAAGUUGGUUAUGUUUGUGUAUAUACUGAAAGUGAUUGUUAAAUAAGAGUAGAUUAAAUAUGUGUGCAAGAUAAAUGUUUCAAUAUAUAUAUAUGUGCAUGAAGUGUAUACUGUAUGUGUAUAUAUUAAUGAAGUUAUGUUUGUAACAUGAAUGAUUUGUUGUCGAGCCUGCAACUUUUGUUGCAGAAAGCUCGACAUAGGGAUAGUGAUCUGGCGGCGGCGGCGUUAGCUAACUUCCUAAAAGCUUUAUAUUUUAGAAGGAGGAAGAGUUGGAUGUUUCAUACUUUGUAUAUAGAUGCCUCAUGUUACGAAGUUUCCGUCAGUCACAUGUCCAAUGUCCUUGACCUCAUUUUCAUGGUUCAGUGAACACUUGAAAAAAAAGUUCAAAUUUUUUGUAAUGUUGAAUUCUCUCUUAUUAUAAGUAAUAGGAUAACUAUAUUUGAUAUGUGCAUACCUUGCAAGGUCCUCAUGUCUGUCAGACAGUUUUCCAUUGACCUUGACCUCAUUUCAUGAAUCAGUGAACAAGGUUAAGUUAAGUUUUGGUGGUCAAGUUCAUAUCUCAGAUACUAUAAGCAUUAGGGCUAGUAUAUUCGGUGUAUGGAAGGACUGUAAGGUGUACAUGUCCAACUGGCAGGUGUCAUCUGACCUUGACCUCAUUUUCAUGGUUCAGUGGUUAUAGUUAAAUUUUUGUAUUUUGGUCUGUUUUUCUCAUACUACAUGCAAUAGGUCUACUAUAUUUGUUGUAUGGAAUGAUUGUAAGGUGUACAUGUCUAGCGGGCAGAUGUCAUGUGACCUUGACCUCAUUUUCAUGGUUCAGUGGUCAAAGUUAAGUUUUUGAGUUUUGGUCUUUUUAUCUAAUACUAUAUGCCAUAGGUCAACUAUUUUGGUGUAUGGAAAUAUUUUUAUGAUCUUUAUGUCAGUCACGCAGGUUUUAUUUGACCGUGACCUCAUUUUCACGGUUCAUUGCACAGUGUUAAGUUUUUGUGUUUGGUCUAUUUUUCUUAAACUAUAAGUAAAAGGUCAACUAUAUAUGUUGUAUAGAAGCAUUGUUAGCUGUACAUGUCUGCCUGGCUUGGUUCAUCUGACCUUGACCUCAUUUUCAAGGUUCAUUGGUCUUUGUUUAGUUAUCUUGGUUAACUUUAAGUUUAUGUGACAGUUGUUAUAAAGCUUAGCUUUAUACUUAGGACUAUCAACAUAAUAUCAAUGAUUACUAUAGAAGGCGAGACAUUUCAGCGUGUUCACUCUUGUUUGAAGAUGGCUAUUAGUUUGUGUGUGAUAUUUCUGUUAUUAUGUGUUUUUAAUAUCACACUGUACAUGAACUGAUACACAAUAGGCUUUAGUUUGGUUAGCUUAUUACACCGACUUUAUGUGUCAGAACUUUGGUGGAUAGUUGUUUUAUUGGCAAUUAUACCACUUACUUCAUUUCAACUCUCAAUAUAUAAUUUGAAUAAUUGGAAGAAGUUGAAGAAGAAGGCUUGUUUAUUAUUAUAUUAAAAUUGAAUAACUUGAGAUGAUAUGAAGGAAUAACCAAUUCUCACUAGUUAUGGAGCCUAUAAAUAAACAUGAUAUUCAUGUGCAGUAAAUGUUGAAUAUAUAAUUGGUGCUGUUUUGAUGUAUGUCAUGGUUUGUAUGGUCUAUUGUGUUAACUGUUGAUUGGAAAUUACAUUCAAUAUUUGAACACAAAAUGUUUGCUAUCGAAAGUUGUAAAUGUUGAAUGGAUAACUGUUUGAAGUGUGUAUUAUGCUUAUAUGGUGUAAAAAUUUAUUCACAUGAAGUAAAAUAUUAAGUAAAUUGCAUUUUUAAACUUAUAAAAAAUAAAGAGCCACAUUUAUCACAACCAGUAGUGAAAUAGAAUAUUUGAAGUUGGAGGCGAAAAAAAGAAAAAGUAAAAAACAUUUAUCAUUAGAGCCACUAGAGGGGUGGUGCUCAUUUUCCCCAUAUCUUUCUAUGUUUUCUAUAGUUUUUGUUCAGGUCUAUAUGAUUUUGAAGUAUACUGAUAUUUCUAUAUGAAGAUAACUUCAAAUGCAAAAUAUUCUUAAGCUUGAAAACGUGUUUGUUUGAAAAUAAUCAUCUGAAAAAUUUGAUUAAAGAGUGUUUGAAAUUUCCUGAUAUUUUGUCAACGGGGACACAUAUUCGCCGUUUUUAUACAUCUAUUUAAACCCAAAUAACUGCAGCUUUAAACAAUAUUUUUCAAAUCAAUUUCAUUAUAGAUGAAUAGCAGACAUUUUUCAAAGGUGUACAGAACUGAAAUUUAGGGCAAUCAGUCAAAGAAUUACCAAGAAAUUCUUCCUUGAAAUUAAAUUUUUCAUUCAGGAAAUUGGCCUGCAAAUCGUUGUCCGAUUUUCGGUCCUUUGCGGUAAUUAAGUGCCGCAAUUUCGUCGUAUUUUAAAAAAUAAUCAUAUUUGUUGUACAAAUCUAAUUUACCGGCAUAUUUCUUCCAUUUCAGCUAUUGUUUGAAGUUUUUACACCUUAAAAAUAAUAAAACGGUGAAAAUGUGACCCCGGCGAAUAUAUGCGCCCCACUCUAUUUGACCCAUGAAAUUGAAAAAAAGUAAAUUUAAUUUCUUUUAAAUGUAUGAUUAUUUUGUUGAUAAAUUGAAUAAGAAGAUAUUUAAAAUUAAUGUGUAAAUGUGUAAAAGAAAAUAUUUGGCUCACAUCAACAUCUAUGUAAAUAUGGUAAAAGACACAGCCCAGUAUUCUAAGUAAGGAUGUUGCCAAUAUCUAUCAAUAUAUGAUAACCUGUUGUAGUUUUAUUUAUGCUAAAAAGACUUACAAGGCCUAAACAAAAUAUGUGAGAUAACAUUCAGAAAUUGUCCUGGAAUCUGACAGAUAUAAAUGAUUUGAAAGAUCUUAGAAGUUUUAUAAUAAUAAAGAAUAAAAAAUGUGGCAUCAUUAUGCCUUUUCUAUUUCUGUAAGUUAAGUGCUAAUUGUUUAUAAUUUAAUUUUGGAUGUAACACGUCUUCUGAUUGGCUGACGUUAUUUUGUUAUGAGCCCAUAGACAUAAUUUAGUCAUGUGGCCGUAAAGUCAUCAACGUUUUUUCAUGGUUUUCUACGGUUUAAAAUGGAAUUGAGAAUUAAAUUAUAAGAAAUGACUGUAAUAUUUUUCCUGUCUAUUCGAAAUAACAUAAAAAAAUGUGGUGCACACUGUUAAAUAACCCGCUACGCACGUUAUUCAGUGUGCACCACAUUUUUUAUGUUAUUUCUUCAUAGACAGAAAAAAUAUUACAGUCAUUCCUUAAAUGAUUAUAAUGUUAGACCCCUUGUACUUAAGAAAUGUAUUAUAAUUAAGGGUAUUGUAAUAUCUUACUCAUUGUAAUGGACUAUACAUGUAUUUUGAAUAGGCGAUUUUGGUGCACUUUAUACUUUAUACUAGAGAUUUACCUUUACCUAUAUUGUGAUACAUCUGAUAUACAGAGUAUAUAUCAUCUCUGUUUAAAGUACAAACACUGUACAUAUAUAAAAUAGGGUUUGUUUCUAAGGAAAAGGGACACAUUAUAUAUGUAGAGAAAAUAUAGAUUAAUUUCUAAGUUUUUAUUUUCCUUUUGUAUUUUUGUUGUUUAUUUAUAAAACCUAUUAUCAAGCAUGGAUGUUGUUUUGACAUGAAUUAUAUUAGUUGAAAAUGAGACGUUAAUUUGGUUAAUACAAUCUGUAUCACUUGAUUUAUUUAUGAUUAUUGAUAUUGUUAAGUUGCUUUGGUUAUUUACAUAUUUGCUACUUGAUAUUAAGCAAUCAAUCAGUGAUUUAUACUAUAGUUGUUUUUUUUUUUCCAUUGGAUCUUAAUUUUUGUUUUCACAUAAUGUAUAUAUAUGAAAUAAAGUUAUUGAAAAUUAAAAUAAAAAUUUUCUGAGAACAUUUAUAGAAUAAAAUAUUUGAAAUUUGAAAAGUUGUAUUUGAAGCACAUAUGUAAGCCAGCUUUAAAGUGUAUUCCUCAUUGUUUAUAGUAAUAUAUUUAGAUUUUUCAUGUGAUGAGUACUUGUAGAAAUGUAUGUGUGUUAUUUGUUGGGGUAGAUCAAACUUUUGGUUCCUUUGAAUCAUUUGGGGUUUUUUUUAUUAAAAAGUAGAAACAGAGCAAAAGGAUUGACAAAAACUGUAAAUAAAAUAUUAGAACUUUGAACAAUAAAUAACCGUAAAGAAAUUAUGAAACUUGCAAGGGAAAUAAUUCAUGCUGAAUAUGCAUAAUGUAACCAGACAGUAUUGGAUGAUAUUUGUCUUAUUGCAUUAGUUUGAAGUAGAACUACACAAAUCUUUAAUGUUUGUACCACUUACAAUUUAAGUAAAUAGCUGUGUUUUACCCUUUGACAACAAGUGUAUAUUAUUAAUAUAUCAUACAAGUGCUUGUGGAUGCAUUUAGUUAUAAAAUAUUAAUGUUUUAUUUUGUUAUAUAUACUUUUGUUUAGUGCUAUUGUGUGGUUAAAACCUCAGCAACAAAGUUGGUGAGGAAAUUUGUUGUUUUAAACUUGUCUUAAAAGACGAACUUUGUUAAAAUGUGUCAGGAGCUGAAUAGUUAAAUAACCUAAUAACAGGAGUGUAUAAUUCACUUGGAACUCUCCAAGAUUUACACAGUAAAGAGUAAUGAAGUAUAUAUGAAGUAUAAUUAACGUUGAACUCUCCAAGAUUUACACAGUAAAGAGUAAUGAAGUAUAUAUGAAGUAUAAAAGACGUAUAAAUGGCAAAUUGUAGAUAGAAUUUCCUCCUGUUUAUCUUAUUUGUUUGUUUUUCAUUAAAUAUAUACAUUG
rnacentral:lncRNA from 1 species